CAAAGAAACAUAAGAAAAAGUAUUCGGAGAAUAUUUGUUAAGAAUAGCAAAAACAUCAAUUGACGUUGGAAAAAGACAUUUAAAAAGAUCUGUUGAUGUCUUUUAAAGUCACCACUAUGAGUAGAAUUUGUUGGCAAACGUUUGGCAAGAGCGGACGAUACAAAUUUCGCAAUCCCAAUAUUCAUUUGGUGAUUUAGUACAUAUGACUAAUACCUACAUACAUACAAUCGUAUGCAUGGAUUAGUAUCUAAUUCUGGCUAAGUACAUUUGGAUUGAAUAUUAGACUUUUUCCCACCAAUUCACCAGUGGUGAGUCUACAUAUAUACAAGACUGUGUCCUGAAUGACUGACCUAUUAACCCAUAGCAAUCCGAUAAUCGUUCGAGUUAGAUGAAAUUGGGUACAUGGAGAACUUUUUUCCUGGAAAUGGAUCUGGAACCGAUCUAAUAGAAAAAUUUUUAUUUAUCAUUUGAUUUAAAUAAAUUUU